rnacentral:lncRNA from 10 species
GGUGGGUGGGGAGGGGAGGGGGAAGGUAAGGGGAGGGGGUGUCUUCCAAGAAUGCAGCCCCCAGGAGUGUGUGGGGCAGGCAGGCUAAGGAGGGAAGACACGGAGUAGGAGAAACCAAAAACAGCAACCUCAACAGAAACCAUGAAAGAAUGGUCUGGAACCGAAUCUGAGAAAAGGUCUGCUGCUUCUGUACCCCUGUGGCCCUCCUCUAGCCACUACUGCCCCUGAUUUGUGCCUCCUCCUUGUCCCCACGUCAAGAGAGAGCAGCGGGACGAGUGGACCCUUCGGAAUCCUACCUGGGGCUUCCCUUCCAGGUGGAAGGGAAGUAGGAGCCAAGAUGCAGACUCCCUGACCGCAGGCGCUGGGCCAGCCACAAUGCCAUCUUGCCCCUACCCUGGUUUAUGAUUGUUUUUCACCUUUGGGCCCUUGGCCAGAGAAUUCCCUCUGCCUCCAAUGUACGCCAUCCCCUCCUUUCCUUUCUGCCUGGGACACUCCUGCCUAUGUGCAUGGGCCAGGUCUGGCCUGCUGCCCAUUACUAUGUGGCCAUGAGCUAAGAAUGGUUUUAUGUUUUUAAAUGGCUGGAAAAAACAUCAAAGGAAGAAUUCUAUUUUGUGACAUGUGAAAAUUAUCUGAAAUUCAAAUAUCAGUAUCCACAAAUAAAAUUAAAUUGGAACAUAGC